CCUACGGGAGGCAGCAGCAAGGAAUUUUGCGCAAUGGGCGAAAGCCUGACGCAGCAACGCCGCGUGGGGGAUGAAGGCCUUCGGGUUGUAAACCCCUUUUGCGAGGGAAGAAGAUCUGACGGUACCUCGCGAAUAAGCCACGGCUAACUACGUGCCAGCAGCCGCGGUAAUACGUAGGUGGCAAGCGUUGUCCGGAUUUACUGGGCGUAAAGCGCGCGCAGGCGGACUGAUCAGUCUGGGGUGAAAUCUCCCGGCUCAACUGGGAGCGGUCCCUGGAUACUGUCAGUCUUGAGAGACCUAGAGGAGAGCGGAAUUCCCGGUGUAGUGGUGGAAUGCGUAGAUAUCGGGAAGAACACCAGUGGCGAAAGCGGCUCUCUGGGGGUUUUCUGACGCUGAGGCGCGAAAGCGUGGGGAGCGAACCGGAUUAGAUACCCGGGUAGUCCACGCCGUAAACGAUGAGUACUAGCUGUCGGGGGUAUCGACCCUCCGGUAGCGCAGCUACGACGAUAAGUACUCCGCCGUCGGGUACGUACGACCGACGAACGUUAAACGUACAAUAGAUAGACGGCGUGAGACGCGCCGACGGACGACGACGAGGGAGUAGG
rnacentral:rRNA from 1 species